rnacentral:rRNA from 1 species
UGGGGAAUUUUGGACAAUGGGGGAAACCCUGAUCCAGCCAUCCCGCGUGUGCGAUGAAGGCCUUCGGGUUGUAAAGCACUUUUGGCAGGAAAGAAACGUCAUGGGUUAAUACCCCGUGAAACUGACGGUACCUGCAGAAUAAGCACCGGCUAACUACGUGCCAGCAGCCGCGGUAAUACGUAGGGUGCAAGCGUUAAUCGGAAUUACUGGGCGUAAAGCGUGCGCAGGCGGUUCGGAAAGAAAGAUGUGAAAUCCCAGAGCUCAACUUUGGAACUGCAUUUUUAACUACCGGGCUAGAGUGUGUCAGAGGGAGGUGGAAUUCCGCGUGUAGCAGUGAAAUGCGUAGAUAUGCGGGAGAACACCGAUGGCGAAGGCAGCCUCCUGGGAUAACACUGACGCUCAUGCACGAGAGCGUGGGGAGCAAACAGG